rnacentral:rRNA from 1 species
GGUAGUCCACCCCGUAAACGUUGGGAACUAGUUGUGGGGACCAUUCCACGGUUUCCGUGACGCAGCUAACGCAUUAAGUUCCCCGCCUGAGGAGUACGGCCGCAAGGCUAGAACUCAAAGGAAUUGACGGGGACCCGCACAAGCGGCGGAGCAUGCGGAUUAAUUCGAUGCAACGCGAAGAACCUUACCAAGGCUUGACAUACACCAGAACACCGUAGAAAUACGGGACUCUUUGGACACUGGUGAACAGGUGGUGCAUGGUUGUCGUCAGCUCGUGUCGUGAGAUGUUGGGUUAAGUCCCGCAACGAGCGCAACCCUCGUUCUAUGUUGCCAGCACGUAAUGGUGGGAACUCAUGGGAUACUGCCGGGGUCAACUCGGAGGAAGGUGGGGAUGACGUCAAAUCAUCAUGCCCCUUAUGUCUUGGGCUUCACGCAUGCUACAAUGGCCGGUACAAAGGGCUGCAAUACCGUGAGGUGGAGCGAAUCCCAAAAAGCCGGUCCCAGUUCGGAUUGAGGUCUGCAACUCGACCUCAUGAAGUCGGAGUCGCUAGUAAUCGCAGAUCAGCAACGCUGCGGUGAAUACGUUCCCGGGUCUUGUACACACCGCCCGUCAAGUCAUGAAAGUCGGUAACACCUGAAGCCGGUGGCCCAACCCUUGUGGAGGGAGCCGUCGAAGGUGGGAUCGGUAAUUAGGACUAAGUCGUAACAAGGUAGCCGUACCGGAAGGUGC